UACGUAGGUGGCAAGCGUUGUUCGGAAUUAUUGGGCGUAAAGGGCGCGUAGGCGGUUUGUUAAGUCGGUUGUGAAAGCCCGGGGCUCAACCCCGGAGAGUCGACCGAUACUGGCAGACUAGAGUACAGAAGAGGUAGCUGGAAUUCCUGGUGUAGCGGUGAAAUGCGUAGAUAUCAGGAGGAACACCUGAGGCGAAGGCGGGCUACUGGGCUGAUACUGACGCUGAUGCGCGAAAGCCGGGGGAGCAAACGGG
rnacentral:rRNA from 1 species